rnacentral:lncRNA from 1 species
CUAAAAAUAAGGCAAAAGCAACUUAAACCAAAUAGGCCCUUAUAAUUUGGGAAGGAGGGAGUAGUUUAGAAUUAAAGAACGGUGGGGUCAAAAGUCUUGCGUUGUUCUCGAGUCGCGCUGUUGCGUUGCGAUGGGGGUCAAGCCUCGAAGUCUGAACCCGCAAUUAUGGACGUCGCCACCUCGCUCUUCCCCGUUUGCAGAGCUCAGACUUUGAAGAUGCGAGACGGAAAGGGAGAACGCCUUUUCUCCCUUUUAUUUUCCUUUGCUGGAAUCCUGAAUCGACGAACACGACGGGAACCCCGAACGCGUCACGGACAACGCGUCCGUCCGUCCGUCCCUCCUCGUCGCCGUCGGUUUGGCGUCGCCGGUUGGCGGUGUGAACCAAGACCGAGGCAGGCGGCUAGGCGCUGACCGCGUGGAGUGCGGGGCCCGCGUCGACGCACACGCGCACGCCGUUGCCGUUGCCGUUGCCGUGGCUGCUACCCGCCCGCCGCCUCGCGUUCUCCUCGUCGGGACCGGACGCGUACGGCACACGCUGCGACUGACUGACCUGCUGGCUGGCUGCAGGAAGCAGAAGCCCAAGCCCACACGCCCUCACACUGUCUCUUGUCUCUUCGACUCUUCCAUGCUUUUUGCUAUGCUCCCGUUGGCUCGGAACCUGAUAUAAAAUUGUGAAAGGGAUAUUAUUAUGAGAGAAAUAAACAAACAAGUGUGAACGGAAGAAACAAACCGAGACCAUGUUUAUUUCACUCCAAAAUUCCAACUUUGGACUAUGCAAAAAGAAGAUUCCCCAUCACAUCAAACUUGUGGUACAUGCAUGGAGUACUGAAUAUAGACGAAAUUAAAAAUUAAUUGCACAGUUUUGUUGUACUUUGCGAGACGAAUCUUUUGAGCCUAAUUAGUCAAUAUUUGGACAAUAAUUCACAAAUACAAACGAAACGCUACAGUAUUGCUACAGUGUUAGGCAACUAAACAAGACCCGAGUCCUACUGUGCAGAAACAAACAGAGAGGGAUACAACGCCAGCUCAGCAGCUUCGUCCCAGUGUAUCAAACUUUUGCGAUCUGGUUCUUCAGAGCCUGGACGGUGCUUAGUGCCACCCACUUUGCUGUUCUGCGAUCAACGCCGCAAGGAAAGUACAGACACCCGUGAUGGCAGGCUAUCAUACAACCACCACUAAAAACCAAUAUGAAAUGCGCAACUGCGCCCACUAAGCAAGUAGUAAGCACCAUCAACAUAAUCACGACUAAUAACUAGAAUAAGACUACACACCAAAAAGAAGAAAACAGAGAGAUUUUUAGCAUCACUACCUGAAUAAAUUUGAUUGAUAUGCCAUCUUCACAGGAUCAGACAUUCAGACAUCUUAACGGUACCAGAAAUCACACGCUGUCCAGUACACUCUUCGAUCGACUCUUGAAUUCCGGUCAGCAAGAAGAGCCAAGGUCCAUCACGCACCUGUGGAAGAACCGGGGCCAUGGAAGGCAGCUGCGAGCGUACGCGUCACUGCAUCAGCAGCAAGGAUUAAGCACAAAGUAAACGCCUCGGGCCAAGGCGAAGUCGACGAAUUGAAUCAGACGACCAAGAAUCGGGGCGCCAGGUCACCCUCACCCACCACCUUCCAUUAACCUGCGCCUUUUUCUUAUUUUCUUGCCACCACUUGGGCCUUUCAUUUUCCAAGCAAUGUCCACACCUUGACCGCGACGCCGAUGAUUGCUCUAAAGUAUUGUACGCGCCUCCCGGAAAUGAUGCUCUCCGUGUACUGAAUCUUGCAGAUCUUCAGUUUUUUCUAAAAAUUCGCUCCUUUUCCUGUUCACCAAAAAGGGUGCAUCAUCCUACAAAAUAAAUAGUGCAUCACAGACACAGAGUGAUCCUUUGUCAGUACUAAUACUAUGGUUAAGACAACAGGUUUGUUAAGUGAAGCUGGUAGGACAAGUGAUGGCAGAUCAUGUGAUCAGGUAAAAUAAGGCAGGCUGUGCGUUAUGUGUGAACAUGGUAGGACAAGUGACGUCACUAUAUCAGAUCAGGCAAAUCACGGCAGUGAUUCAACAAGGAUUGAUUCAAGGAUGACUAGAAAAAGCAAAUAUUUCGUAGGGUCAGUUGGACUUCUUUUAUGGAUUAUAGCAGGUAGCCACCAGUGAAGCAUACAAGUGUGAACAACAAGCUGCUGCUUUGUCUAUUCUAUACUGCAUUAAAAACGUACAAUGAUAAUGAGGAUUCUCCUAUAGUAGCAUAUGAUCCUUGACUUCAUAUUUUCUUUGUAGUGACCACGACUAGAAGGGAUCAGCAAGAAGGAGGCAGGAGCCACCUCCUUCUUCUACCUUAUGCUCUUCCCUGAUUAGACUCAGAACAUUGGUAUCUCAUCUAGACAGGAAACAAGUUAAGCGUCUGGUUUCCAUGCUACUUUCAACAGGAAGCCAUGCAGCCACUCCAAUUUCCAUACAAGAACUACAGCAGUAGGUUACCCAUACCUUCCCUUGGCUUUGCUGCUCUGCUGCUGAUCUCUUUGGCCACCCUCACCAGCUCUUGCACAGAGCAGGAGAAGAACUCCCUCCUCCAGUUCGUCUCUGGGCUCUCACAGGAUGCUG